rnacentral:misc_RNA from 1 species
GAGGGACUCGUGACAGUCCAGAGGAGAUGACGAUUCCGGGUAGUCCAUCCUCGGAAACUUCGGGACAUUCAGCGGCAUCAAGAUAAUCAAAGUACCUUAUGUACUGACGGUAGAAAAACUAGUUUAUUUACCUUGAUUUGCUCCAGGAAAAAAAAGUAGGUUAUGAAUAUUUAUUAACAUGAACAUUAUUACUGUAAGAAAUACAAUUUUACAUGUGUAUGUUCUUUAUAGAAUAUAUAUUUAUUAGGAAAAACCACGCAACUUUAGUCACUUGAAAAAUCAAAUUGAUAUACUCCUCCUAGUCAUGAUCAUUUAAAAACAGGUUUAUUUUUUAACUGUUAGUCAUUUGUAUAGGAAAAAAGUUACCUUUGUGUAAAUCACUCUCAUAUUGAUUUUAUGAAUGAAGUGUAGAUGUACUGUUAUAAUGUUGGUAGUAUUUGUUGAUGCAUGAAGUUUCUGUAUGGUAGUUGAUAAUGUCACCACAGUUAUUAUAGUAAAAAGCCUCAAUACCAUCAA